rnacentral:rRNA from 1 species
GACAGAGGGUGCAAACGUUGCUCGGAAUUACUGGGCGUAAAGGGCGUGUAGGCGGGAAGGCAAGUCGGGCGUGAAAUCCCCAGGCUCAACCUGGGAACUGCACUCGAAACUGCCUUUCUUGAGUGCCGGAGAGGAAAGCGGAAUUCCUGGUGUAGAGGUGAAAUUCGUAGAUAUUCGCAAGAACACCAGUGGCGAAGGCGGCUCACUGGCCCGAUACUGACGCUGAGGUGCGAAAGCGUGGGGAGCAAACAGG